rnacentral:lncRNA from 1 species
ACGCAGUUGUAAAAAUUAAUUAUCUGGUAUUUAGCACCAGCUGUAAAAGUGGGAAGCUGUUGCUGUUGUCGGAGAACUUCUGGUGCCAGGGAAGCUGGCUGGGAGUCCUGCCGGGGACUCAGGUGUGAUGGUCACACUUUUGUGUGACAGCCUCUUGGGAUGAGAGUCAUAAAUAGGAUUGAGGCACAUCUCUGCCCCGAGUCCAAAAUCCUGACCAUCAAAGCACCCCUUUGCCUUGCGACAUCUGAAUUUUCUAAGGGCUUUGGCUUCCACCAAUGCAGGUUCCAGGUAACUACAGUGAUGCCAAAUGGAUAAGCACAAAGCCAUGCGGUGGCCAUCUGGCACCGUUCCCCAGCAAGAUAUGUUUGUUUCUGUGGCCUGUCUUACCAGCACUUGUCUAAAGGGAAGUCCCCUCCGCUCAACAUAUUGUCCUGUGACCAGAAUCCCUCCAUGUAGGUGGCCAUGAUUCAAGGGCAGACCAAGGGAGGCACUUGGACCCUCAUGUCUCAGGGGGCGAGCUGGUCAUCAAAGGGAAGGUGCCGGUAUUAUCUCCUCCUCGUAACAAAGGGAUCAAAACUCUGCAGUGUUUUUGUGACUCUUGUUAUUAAGCAGGGGAAAGCUCUGAAACCUCUUGGAGUCCUAAACCCUUUCCUUUCAGUGCCCGCGCCUCCUGUGUCUGGUAUGACGGGACGUCUCAGAGUCAGGCUUUGCAACACUGCAGUGUGAGCUGUGCCAAAAGACGGGAGACCUACAUGGAUAGCAAGGACCUCUCUGCUGACAUCGGUCCUCCUGAGCGCCAGGAUUCAUAUGUACUUCCAGGCAGGCAGGAUCUUGCCUCGUCAGUCUGAGGACAUGCAGCAUUUCCAGAGAGGAUCAGAAACUCAUCAUGAGCAAUUACUCCAUGACACCGCUGUUGAUCAUGCUAGCAAGUGACACAGGAGCUUGGUGUGAGGUUAUUCUCAGGAUAAUAAAAAUAUGUAAUAGAUGUAGGUUUUACGCUAC